GACGAACGCUGGCGGCGCGCUUAACACAUGCAAGUCGAGCGAAGCGGCGGACGGGUGAGUAACACGUGAGUAACCUGCCUUAGACAUUGGGAUAGCCUCGGGAAACCGGGAUUAAUACCAAAUGGUCUAAGAUGGACUCGCGUCCCAUUAGCUAGUUGGUGGGUAACGGCCCACCAAGGCGACGAUGGGUAGACGGCCUUGGAGGGUGAACAGCCACAUUGGAACUGACAAACGGGCCAAACUCGACGGGAGGCAGCAGGGGUGAAUAUUGCACAAUGGGGGGAAGGCUGAUGCAGCGACGCCGCGUGAACGAAGAAGGCGUUCGAGUCGUAAAGUUCUUUUAUAUGGGAAGCGGUACCAUAAGAAAAAGCCCCGGCUAACUACGUGCCAGCAGCGGCGGUAAUA
rnacentral:rRNA from 1 species